GGCACCAUUAAAUAUGACUUUCUGCCAAAAUUAGUGAUCAAAAUACGUUCUCACAUGCAUGUCACAUGAAAAUUUUAUUAUGGAUCACAACAUUGUUUGUUGUUUGACAUGACGGUAUAGUGCAUCUCUAGUCACAUAUGGCGCAGUUACAUUCCUGGACGGAAGCGUUGACAACCACACAAUAACCAUUUGUGAGGCGACCUCCCCCGUCAUGCUGGCAGGCUAGCCGGCAAGUUAAUUCAUCGCAUGAUGUGCCUGAAUAAGCAAUGUGUGUUUUACAAUCCUCUGUAGGCAAGAAUAUAGAUCAUUAAAAGAAGCUCAAUUUGAGAUAGUCGGAAUGACAUUUGUGCAGUUCAGAUCACAAUAUUAUUCUACUUUGGUUGGCAGGAGAAAUGAAACAUAAAGAGGGAUAGAGAGAUCGAUUUUGUACCAGCAUGGGUGGAAUUCCCUAGCAGGAAAAUCACCAUAAGGCAAACUAGAAUAGGUUUCCCCUCCAUAAGAUCACACACAAACGUCUUCUUUGUGUUUCUGCUUAGAUUUGCACGAGC
rnacentral:lncRNA from 1 species